rnacentral:tRNA from 1 species
AGAGAAAAGCGGGGCAUGGCUAGACUUCUAAUCUUUGCUAUAAGCAGUUCAACUCUGUUUUUUUCUCUA